CUGGCGGCAGGCCUAACACAUGCAAGUCGAGCGGAUGAGUGGAGCUUGCUCCAUGAUUCAGCGGCGGACGGGUGAGUAAUGCCUAGGAAUCUGCCUGGUAGUGGGGGACAACGUUUCGAAAGGAACGCUAAUACCGCAUACGUCCUACGGGAGAAAGCAGGGGACCUUCGGGCCUUGCGCUAUCAGAUGAGCCUAGGUCGGAUUAGCUAGUAGGUGAGGUAAWGGCUCACCUAGGCGACGAUCCGUAACUGGUCUGAGAGGAUGAUCAGUCACACUGGAACUGAGACACGGUCCAGACUCCUACGGGAGGCAGCAGUGGGGAAUAUUGGACAAUGGGCGAAAGCCUGAUCCAGCCAUGC
rnacentral:rRNA from 2 species